rnacentral:rRNA from 1 species
AAAAAAUUUGGCGGUAUUUUAGUCUAUUCAGAGGAACCUGUUCUGUAAUCGAUAAUCCACGAUGUACCUCACUUAAUUUUGUAUUCAGUUUAUAUACCGUUGUUAUUAGAAUAUUUUAUAAGAAUGUUAAUUUUCAAGAUUUUUUAUAAGAAAUCAUAUCAGAUCAAGGGGUAGCUUAUAUUUAAGUAGAAAUGGGUUACAAUAAAUUUAUUUAAAUGAAUAUAAAUUUGAAAUUUUUAUUGAAGGUGGAUUUGAUAGUAAAAUUAUAAAGAUUAAUAAUUUGAUUUUAGCUCUAAAAUAUGCACAUAUCGCCCGUCACUCUUAUUAUUAAGGUAGAUAAGUCGUAACAUAGUAGAUGUACUGGAAAGUGUAUUUAGGCUGCAAUUUAAAGCUUUUAAGUAAAGUAUUUCAUUUCCAUUGAAAAGAUUUUUGUGCAAAUCAAUAUAAAUUGAUUUAGUAUUUAUUUAUUAAAAUUUUUUAUUAAAGUUAAAUUAUUAAAAAUAAUUAUAAGGUACAUAUUUUUAGUAUUUUUUUAAAAAAAAAUAAUUUUUAUUAUAGUU